rnacentral:rRNA from 1 species
UGGGGAAUAUUGCACAAUGGGCGCAAGCCUGAUGCAGCCAUGCCGCGUGUGUGAAGAAGGCCUUCGGGUUGUAAAGCACUUUCAGCGAGGAGGAAGGUGGUGAGCUUAAUACGCUCAUCAAUUGACGUUACUCGCAGAAGAAGCACCGGCUAACUCCGUGCCAGCAGCCGCGGUAAUACGGAGGGUGCAAGCGUUAAUCGGAAUUACUGGGCGUAAAGCGCACGCAGGGCGGUUUGUUAAGUCAGAUGUGAAAUCCCCGGGCUCAACCUGGGAACUGCAUUUGAAACUGGCAAGCUAGAGUCUCGUAGAGGGGGGUAGAAUUCCAGGUGUAGCGGUGAAAUGCGUAGAGAUCUGGAGGAAUACCGGUGGCGAAGGCGGCCCCCUGGACGAAGACUGACGCUCAGGUGCGAAAGCGUGGGGCAGCAAACAGGAUUAGAUA